rnacentral:rRNA from 1 species
UACGUAGGUGGCAAGCGUUGUCCGGAAUUAUUGGGCGUAAAGCGCGCGCAGGCGGCCUGUUAAGUCUGAUGUGAAAGCCCCCGGCUCAACCGGGGAAGGUCAUUGGAAACUGAUAGGCUUGAGUACAGAAGAGGAAAGCGGAAUUCCACGUGUAGCGGUGAAAUGCGUAGAGAUGUGGAGGAACACCAGUGGCGAAGGCGGUUCUCUGGGCCUUACCUGACGCUGAGGAGCGAAAGCGUGGGGAGCGAACAGG